AUUGAACGCUGGCGGCAUGCUUUACACAUGCAAGUCGAACGGCAGCGCGGGGGCAACCCUGGCGGCGAGUGGCGAACGGGUGAGCAAUGUAUCGGAACGUAUCCUGUAAUGGGGGAUAACCAGUCGAAAGAUUGGGUAAUACCGCAUACGAUCUACGGAUGAAAGCGGGGGAUCGCAAGACCUCGCGCGAUUGGAGCGGCCGAUAUCAGAUUAGCUAGUUGGUGGGGUAAAAGCUCACCAAGGCGACGAUCUGUAGCUGGUCUGAGAGGACGACCAGCCACACUGGAACUGAGACACGGUCCAGACUCCUACGGGAGGCAGCAGUGGGGAAUUUUGGACAAUGGGCGCAAGCCUGAUCCAGCAAUGCCGCGUGCAGGAUGAAGGCCUUGGGUUGUAAACUGCUUUGUACGGAACGAACGGUGAGCUCUAAUAAAGCUUGCUAAUGACGGUACCGUAAGAAUAAGCACCGGCUAACUACGUGCC
rnacentral:rRNA from 1 species